rnacentral:rRNA from 1 species
UACGAGUGCCCCAAGCGUUAUCCGGAAUCAUUGGGCGUAAAGGGUGUGUAGGUGGCGAUGUUAGUCUUCUGUCAAAUUUCCCGGCUUAACCGGGAACCUGCAGGGGAAACGGCAUUGCUUGAGUAUGUGAGGGGUGAAUGGAACUCAUGGAGUAGGGGUGAAAUCCGUUGAUAUCAUGGGGAACACCAAAAGCGAAGGCAAUUCACUGGCGCAUUACUGACACUGAAACACGAAAGCGUGGGUAGCGAACGGG